rnacentral:rRNA from 1 species
GAUGAACGCUGGCGGCGUGCCUAAUACAUGCAAGUCGAGCGAACGGACGCGAAGCUUGCUUCGCUGAUGUUAGCGGCGGACGGGUGAGUAACACGUGGAUAACCUACCUAUAAGCCGGGGAUAACUUCGGGAAACCGGAGCUAAUCGCGGAUAACAUUUUGUACGACACGGUUCAAAAGUGAAAGACGGUCUUGCUGUCACUUAUAGAUGGAUCCGCGCUGGAUUAGCUAGUUGGUAAGGUAAGGGCCUACCAAGGCAACGAUGCAUAGCCGACCUGGGAGAGUGAUCGCCCGCACUGGAACUGAGACGCGGUCCAGAGUCCUACGGGAGGCACCAGAAGCGAAUCGUCCGCAGUGGUCGAAAGCCUUACGGAGCAGCGCCGCGUGAGUUAUAGAGGUCUUCGGAUCGUAAUGCCCUGUUAUUAGUGAAGAACAUAUGUGUAAGGGACUGUGCACAUCGUGACGGUACCUAGUCAGAAGGCCACGGCUAACUACGUG